rnacentral:lncRNA from 1 species
AUUGCCUGGCUGCUAGAGGAAACCCGAAGUCGGGAUUCUUUCUUUCCUGCUCUGAGAGGGACCAGGUCCCUCCUCCGUAGCUUUUGUCUCUCUAUUGCCUGCGCCGUGUCCUGGACUGCUCACGGGAGUUCUGCAGGAGACGCCGGAAUAUCUGGAAGCUGAAAAAUGGUGAGUGUGCGGAGCCGGAAACCCCGAGGAAAUAAAUGGAAAGACCAGAAUAUUGAAGAUCACUACAGAAAUCUAAGGGUCAGGCAUGGUGGCUCACACCUGUAAUCCCAGCACUUUGGGAAGCAGAGGCAGUUGGAUCACUUGAACCUGGGAGGCGUUCUGGAGGUCAGGAGUUCGAGACCAGCUUGGCCAACAUGGUGAAACCCUGUGUCUGCUAAAAAUACAAAAAUUAGCCGGGCCUCAUGGCACAUGCCUGUAAUCCCAGCUACUCUGGAGGCUGAAGCAGGAGAAUCGCUUGAACCUGGGAGGCGGAGGUUGCAGUGAGCCGAGAUCACGCCACUGCUUCUUGCUUUAAAAGAAGAGUAAAGACAAGAGUGUUGGACCAGUAUUGCAGUUCUGUAGUAUCAUUUCUUAUAAAAAACAAAACAACAAUAAUUUAUCAAAAUUGGCAUAUAAAGACUGACAACAUUCUAAUAAAGGCACAAAUUUCUUUUUAAUACUUGUUUCAGGCUCUUUAUUCUCUUUAUAAGUUAACUAAUCUAUUUUCUUCAAACUUCUGCAUUAGUUCUUUAAAAUCACAACACUUAGCAAGCUGACUUUUUUAAUGUGCUCAAUACAAAUACUUGUGAACUUUUAAUAUGUUGAGUGCUUUCAUUGUGAUAACUGGAUCUCCAUUUGAUAUUUUCAUUUAUAUAACUCAUUUGCAGUCUGAAAAUUUUUAGUGCCAGUCCCUGAAUAUAUCAUUGAAAGUUAAUUUUCUUUGCAUUUUAAAAUAUCUGGAUUAUGAAGAAAAAGUGAUGAAAAUAAAUUAAAACUGAAUUACCUUAAAAAAAAACAAAAAAAAAAGACCAAGCGUGGUGGCUCAUGCUUGUAAUCCCAGCACUUUGGGAGACUGAGGCGGGCAGAUCACCUGAGGUCAGGAGUUCCAGACCAGCCUGACCCACAUGGUGAAAUCCCAUCUCUACUAAAAAUACAAAAGUAGCCAGGCGUGGUAGCGUGCACCUGUAAUCCCAGCUACUUGGGAGGCUGAGGCAGGAGAAUUGCUUGACCCUGGGAAGUGGAGGUUCCAGUGAGCCAAGAUCAUGCCACUGCGCUGUAGCCUGGGCAAUGAGAGUGAAACUCUGUCUCAAAAAAAAAAAAAAAAAAAAAAAAAAAAAAGAAUGUCACUUUCUGACAGGCCCAGGAGCCUCAAGUUAUCUUGGGACCUUGACAGGAGGAAAAUUCACUCAACUCAUACAGGUAUUUGCAGGCAUAGAUAAGUCUGUGGCUGGGCUUCAAGGCUUUAAAAAGUACAAUCUGAGAUUCCUUAGUGAACAAAGUUUCAGCAAAGCCAAUUUUUAAAAAGAGUUUAGUCUCAGAACUAGGAAAUUGGCUAAAAAGAUAUGGGACAAGAUAUUUAAAUUUGCCUUUUUCUGUCUAUCCCAAUCUAACAACCUCUGACCCAAAUCUCUUGCUGCUAAUGAC